GUACCCGCUGAACUUAAGCAUAUCAAUAAGCGGAGGAAAAGAAACCAACAGGGAUUGCCCUAGUAACGGCGAGUGAAGCGGCAACAGCUCAAAUUUGAAAUCUGGCCUUAGGGUCCGAGUUGUAAUUUGUAGAGGAUGCUUUUGGUGCGGUACCUUCCGAGUUCCCUGGAACGGGACGCCAUAGAGGGUGAGAGCCCCGUACGGUUGGAUACCUAGCCUCUGUAAAGCUCCUUCGACGAGUCGAGUAGUUUGGGAAUGCUGCUCUAAAUGGGAGGUAAAUUUCUUCUAAAGCUAAAUACCGGCCAGAGACCGAUAGCGCACAAGUAGAGUGAUCGAAAGAUGAAAAGCACUUUGAAAAGAGGGUUAAAUAGCACGUGAAAUUGUUGAAAGGGAAGCGCUUAUGACCAGACUUUUGUCCGGCGGAUCAUCCGGUGUUCUCACCGGUGCACUUCGCCGGGCUGAGGCCAGCAUCGAUUUCUGUAGGGGGAUAAAGACUUCAGGAAAGUAGCUCCCUUCGGGGAGUGUUAUAGCCCGUCGUGUAAUACCCCUAUAGGGAUCGAGGUUCGCGCAUCUGCAAGGAUGCUGGCAUAAUGGUCAUCAGCGACCCGUCUUGAAACACGGACCAAGGAGUCGAACAUUUAUGCGAGUGUUUGGGUGUUAAACCCUCACGCGUAAUGAAAGUGAACGGAGGUGAGAGCCCUUACGGGUGCAUCAUCGACCGAUCCUGAUGUCUUCGGAUGGAUUUGAGUAAGAGCAUAACUGUUCGGACCCGAAAGAUGGUGAACUAUGCGUGGAUAGGGUGAAGCCAGAGGAAACUCUGGUGGAGGCUCGCAGCGGUUCUGACGUGCAAAUCGAUCGUCAAAUCUGCGCAUGGGGGCGAAAGACUAAUCGAACCAUCUAGUAGCUGGUUACCGCCGAAGUUUCCCUCAGGAUAGCAGUGUUGUUUUCAGUUUUAUGAGGUAAAGCGAAUGAUUAGGGACUCGGGGGCGCCAUAUAGCCUUCAUCCAUUCUCAAACUUUAAAUAUGUAAGAAGCCCUUGUUACUUAAUUGAACGUGGGCAUUCGAAUGUAUCAACACUAGUGGGCCAUUUUUGGUAAGCAGAACUGGCG
rnacentral:rRNA from 1 species